rnacentral:rRNA from 1 species
CCUACGGGAGGCAGCAGUGAGGAAUAUUGGUCAAUGGACGGAAGUCUGAACCAGCCAUGCCGCGUGAAGGAAGACGGCGCUAUGAGUUGUCAACUGCUUUUGUACAAGGGUAAACCUGAAUACGUGUAUUCAGCUGAAAGUACUGUACGAAUAAGGAUCGGCUCACUCCGUGCCAGCAGCCGCGGUAAUACGGAGGAUCCAAGCGUUAUCCGGAUUGAUUGGGUUUAAAGGGUGCGUAGGCGGAUUGGUAAGUUAGAGGUGAAAUGUCCGAGCUUAACUCGGGACAUGCCUCUAAAACUGUUGGUCGAGAGAGUAGAUGCGGUAGGCGGAAUGUAUGGUGUAGCGGUGAAAUGCUUAGAGAUCAUACAGAACCCCGAUUGCGAAGGCAGCUUACCAAUCUAUAUCUGACGUUGAGGCACGAAAGCGUGGGGAGCAAACAGGAUUAGAUACCCCAGUAGUC